UGGAAUGUCAUAAAAUACUAAAGAAUUUUUCAUUGAGGUGCAGAAGUGUGGCAGCAUUCCAAUUAAGUCAUGAAACAGAAUCUAUGCACAGAUACAAACUAUGAAAUAGUGUAUACUAAUCCGAAUAGUUCCAAUUUAAUCCUUUUCUCUUCCAAAUAAUUUAGGCGGAGAGAAAGCACAUAUGUUGGAAGACUUGUUCAUAGCUCACAUUGUUGGAAUGGACACAAUGGCUCGUGGAUUCAAGAAUGCUGCUAAGUUAAUUGAGGUUAGUGUUGAGCAUCAUAGUAAGCCCUUAACAUGAUUUUGAUAUCUGCAGGAAAGAGCAACUCAAC